rnacentral:rRNA from 1 species
CCUACGGGUGGCAGCAGUGAGGAAUAUUGGUCAAUGGGCGCUAGCCUGAACCAGCCAAGUAGCGUGAAGGAUGACUGCCCUAUGGGUUGUAAACUUCUUUUAUAUGGGAAUAAAGUGCAGUAUGUAUACUGCUUUCCAUGUACCUUAUGAAUAAGGAUCGGCUAACUCCGUGCCAGCAGCCGCGGUAAUACGGAGGAUCCGAGCGUUAUCCGGAUUUAGUGGGUUUAAAGGGAGCGUAGGCGGGUUGUUAAGUUAGUUGUGAAAGUUUGCGGCUUAACCGUAAAAUUGCAGUUGAUACUGGUAUCCUUGAGUAAAGUAGAGGUAGGCGGAAUUCGUGGUGUAGCGGUGAAAUGCUUAGAU